GAUAACUGGCUUGUGGCCGCCAAGCGUUCAUAGCGACGUGGCUUUUUGAUCCUUCGAUGUCGGCUCUUCCUAUCAUUGUGAAGCAAAAUUCACAAAGCGUAGUAUUAUAGGCUCUUUUUACAAAGUAUUGGUUAUGAUGGACGGGUGU
rnacentral:rRNA from 1 species